ACGGGAGGCAGCAGUGGGGAAUAUUGCACAAUGGGCGAAAGCCUGAUGCAGCGACGCCGCGUGAGUGAAGAAGUAUCUCGGUAUGUAAAGCUCUAUCAGCAGGGAAGAAAAUGACGGUACCUGACUAAGAAGCCCCGGCUAACUACGUGCCAGCAGCCGCGGUAAUACGUAGGGGGCAAGCGUUAUCCGGAUUUACUGGGUGUAAAGGGAGCGCAGGCGGUUUUUUAAGUCUGAUGUGAAAGCCCGCGGCUCAACUGCGGGACUGCAUUGGAAACUGGAGAACUAGAGUGUCGGAGGGGCAAGUGGAAUUCCUAGUGUAGCGGUGAAAUGCGUAGAUAUUAGGAGGAACACCAGUGGCGAAGGCGGCUUACUGGACGAUAACUGACGUUGAGGCUCGAAAGCGUGGGGAGCAAACAGGAUUAGAUACCCUGGUA
rnacentral:rRNA from 1 species